rnacentral:rRNA from 1 species
GACAGAGGGUGCAAACGUUGUUCGGAAUUACUGGGCGUAAAGCGAGUGUAGGCGGUUCGAUAAGUCGGAUGUGAAAGCCCCGGGCUCAACCCGGGAAGUGCACUCGAUACUGUCGAGCUAGAGUAUCGGAGAGGUUGGUGGAAUUCUCGGUGUAGAGGUGAAAUUCGUAGAUAUUCGGAAGAACACCAGUGGCGAAGGCGGCUCACUGGACCGUAGUUGACGCUGAGGUGCGAAAGCGUGGGGAGCAAACAGG